rnacentral:rRNA from 1 species
UACGUAGGCAGCAAGCGUUGUUCGGAGUUACUGGGCGUAAAGGGUGCGUAGGCGGCCGUGUAAGUGUGGUGUGAAAUCUCCCGGCUUAACUGGGAGGGUGCGCUACAGACUGCAUGGCUAGAGUGUGGGAGAGGAAAGUGGAAUUCCUGGUGUAGCGGUGAAAUGCGUAGAUAUCAGGAGGAACACCGGUGGUGUAGACGGCUUUCUGGACCGUAACUGACGCUGAGACACGAAAGCGUGGGUAGCAAACAGG